CAAGAAAUAGUUUAAGAUAAAAUGUUAACAUUGGAAGUUAUUGAUUAAGUUAAUUCUUAUUUUUUGA
rnacentral:tRNA from 1 species